UGGGGAAUCUUGGACAAUGGGGGCAACCCUGAUCCAGCGAUGCCGCGUGGGUGAAGAAGGCCUUCGGGUUGUAAAGCCCUUUAGGCUGGGAAGAAGGGUGUGGGGUGAAUAUCCCUGCACUUUGACGGUACCAGCAGAAUAAGCACCGGCAAACUCUGUGCCAGCAGCCGCGGUAAUACAGAGGGUGCGAGCGUUAAUCGGAUUUACUGGGCGUAAAGGGCGCGUAGGCGGUUAAGUGAGUGUGAUGUGAAAGCCCCGGGCUCAACCUGGGAAGUGCAUCGCAAACGACUUAACUGGAGUAUAUGAGAGGGUGGCGGAAUUUCCGGUGUAGCGGUGAAAUGCGUAGAGAUCGGAAGGAACGUCGAUGGCGAAGGCAGCCACCUGGCAUAAUACUGACGCUGAGGCGCGAAAGCGUGGGGAGCGAACAG
rnacentral:rRNA from 1 species